rnacentral:lncRNA from 1 species
GCUGCAUUUGUAUCAGUUAGACCACAUUAUAUCAAAAAAUUAAUCAUAUGAUUCGUCAGAUGAUUUCACAGGCUGUGAAAUUCAGAGGGUUUAUCCACCUCCCCCUACCAUGGUUUCUCUUCCUUUCCCAAAUCGGGCCCCUUCUGAAGCAAUACAGAAACCACAAGAAGUGAAAGAAGGAGUGAGUACUCAGAGAAAGUACUGAGAGUAGGCAGAAACAGUGAAUAAAGUUACCCAGAGUUUUUGCAACCUCAUUUCAACAAACAGCUUCCUGUAUACUUAUGCCAUCACAUGGUAUCAGAAGUGGGAUUACGAAGACACUCUGAGACACUGCCCCACAAAAAAAGCAGAGAUGGUGUGUAGUUGGGGGUGGGCAGAGCUGCAGAAUGAAAGAGAAAGGUGGGAGGGCUCACAGUGAAUUCUGUUCAGUCCAGCAGUCGGUGGGUGGAAGGGAAGAUCUAUAUUUUCUCUGGACUCUAGUAAGCUUUCCAUCAAAUCCGACGACUGAAUGGCAUUGAAGACACGAAGGGCAGAAGUGUGACCAGGCCAAAGAGACACUGACUGCACAUCUUUGACAUGCUGCCUCAGGUGGUUGGUGGAGACUCUCAUACCCUUAGUUUUGGGGCCAAUGAUGAUUCAUCAGGGGCACAAGCAAAUCAGGAAAGACGGGCUGCCACGCUGCCUCGCCGGGCCCCCUGGGAGGAACGCCUGGUCAAGUUCUCUGGCAUUGGCCCCGUUGAUGAGACAGGCUUGCCGCUGGCUUCCAGAUCUAGUGUGAACAAGCCCAGGGACUGGUACCGAACCAUGUUUCGACAGAUUCACCAGACAUCUGAAGGUAAACACUUGGAAAGGCCUGGAUCAUCUGUGUC